GCUGUAGCUCAGAGGUAGAGCAUCUGUUUUACAUGCAGAAGGUCCCAGGUUCUAAUCCUGUCAUCUCCA